UAGACUUGACUGCGUGGGCACAGAAGUCAAGUGGUGGUGGAGAGAGUGUAUUAUCCAGUUUGUAUGUCUUUCAGUCAGCUUUUUCCUCCACGCGUCUAAACAUACCGCGCACCUGCUGGUAGGAACUUUGCUGUGUAGACAGGGGUGUCCAUAGCCCCACUGUGAGUAGGAGCAAAAAACUGGAAACUUCCAUCAAUAAGAGCAUAAACAUGGGAUAUUCAUAGGACGCAAUAUUAUAUGCCAGUAAGUCAAGACUGAACCUAGAAAUGUGAUGAAGCAGAAAGAGGGAGAUUUAUGUGACUUUGGCAGUUUAUCUCCAGCAGGGCAAGUUUUCUAAGCUUGGAAAAAAGAUGGAUUUGCCCUCUUAGGUGUGGGGCUUUAGUUGGGAACUCACAUAGGACAUCAGUCAACUCUGUUGGAUUUGCCCGUCGUCUGGAUGGACUGGCAGGAAGACAAGUUCAGGUGGCAGCAGCUAAUACAUUUGCCUUUAAAUGUUUUCGGUAAAUGUCACCCAGGAAGCUGUGUGCAACCCUUAAAGAGAUCCUUCAAGGAGCUACCGUAGGGGUCAAGUGCAGAACCACAGUACUCUGAGAAUAAGGUCAGUAUUGGGCCCUCUGGUACCAGUAACGGGCACCAGGAAACUGGGCUUCUGGCCUCAAGUCUGCAGUUGUGUUGGGGUGUGGGGGGGGAGGUAGCAAGGUAAGUUAAAAUGCAACAGAGGAGUUCCCUCAUGGCUCAGUGGGUUAAGGGUCCCACUGCAGAGGCUUAGGUCACUGUGGGACUGUGAGUUCCAUCCCUGGCCUGGCACAGUGGGUUGAGGAUCCAUGGUUGCCGCAGCUGGGACGUAGGUCACAGGUGUGCCUUGGAUUUGACCUCUGGCCCCUGGAACUUCUUCAUGCCAUGGCUGUGGCCAAAAAAAAGAAAAAAUAAAGCCAUAGAGCUCUUUUGCCAAAAUUUAGCUUUUUUUUUUUUUCCCCUUUGUUAAGCUUUCCACUUGUUACUGUUAGUUUUAAAAAGUAGAUUUUAGGGUUCUGAACAAGGUCACCACGAUCUUUGUUGCCGGUUCUUCACUGCUGUUGUGAACAGUGGAGUUUGGGGUUCUCUACUCUGCUGUUUGCACUGAUUUCUGUCCAAGGCGGGGAGUGGGUGACGUGGGUGUGAUAUUACUGGUCCCCAUCAAUAAGCAGCAUCCAGUCCAGACCCCUUCAGGUUUGGCUGCGGGUCUUCAGAGUUGGAAGCUGCUAACCUGCCCCUUUCGUGGGACCACCUUGGAAGUAGGGGUGCAGCUUCCCACUCAGGUGCUAGCUUUUCAUCUGCCCCGAGUGCUCUCAGUUCUUUCGGAGUAAGUAAAUCCAGGACAGCCUGGCCCUGCGACACGUGGUGGUCCUCUUCGGCGUGCCCGACCCCCAAAGGCCAGCACUGGACGGGGGCCCUGGGAUGGAGGUUUACGUGACCAGGGCAGAAAAUCAGCGAAGAGUCCACUCUUCCUUUCACCUGGACUCUUUUGAAGACCCCUCCCUGUUGACAUCCUGCAAACCCCGCUCACGCUUCCCCUGCCUCGGGCAUUUGGUGAGAGAAUCGGGGAUGGCUUUCCACUCUCUCUCAGGCACAGAGGGUCAGAUCAGUGCGGCCCGGGAGGCAGAGGUCGGUGAGCUAGCCUCUGUGCCAAGUGGGCGCUGCCAGGUGCAGAAAUCCGUGUGAAUUUGGUCUGCAUCCAGCCUCUGUCACUGGCCACUCGCUGGGAUUCUCCGCGACCUGCAGGGUGUCCGGCAGAGCCGGGCAGAGAGCCCCGAGGAGGUGGCUUUUCCUCUCUGCUGCUCGCGUCCCGGCUCCGCUUCCCCUCUGGCUGCCACUUUGGAGGAUGGUAGUCACGGGCUGGAUGGGUUGGGUGUCCGCAUGGAGCCUGAUGUUGUCCAGGGAGCUUCUCUAUGCCUUUGGAGCUCGGAUUCCGGGUUGCGA
rnacentral:lncRNA from 1 species